AUUGAACGCUGGCGGCAUGCUUUACACAUGCAAGUCGAACGGUAACAGCACUUCGGUGGCUGACGAGUGGCGAACGGGUGCGUAAUAUAUCGGAACGUGCCUAGUAGUGGGGGAUAACUACUCGAAAGAGUAGCUAAUAUCGCAUGAGAUCUAAGUUUGAAAGCAGGGGUCCUUCGGGCCUUGCGCUACUAGAGCGGCUGAUGGCAGCUUAGGUAGUUGGUGGGAUAAAAGCUUACCAAGCCGACGAUCUGUAGCUGGUCUGAGAGGACGACCCGCCACACUGGGAGUGAGACACGGCCCAGACUCCGGCGGGAGGCAGCAGCGGGGAAUUUUAGACAAUGGGCGAAAGCCUGAUCCAGCAAUGCCGCGUGCAGGAUGAAGGACUGCGGGUUGUAGACUGCUGUUGUACGGAACGAUAAAACGUCUUCUUAUACAGGAUGGUCAUGACGGUACCGUAAGAAUAAGCACCGGCUAACUACGUG
rnacentral:rRNA from 1 species